rnacentral:lncRNA from 1 species
GAAGUUGUGCGCGCGCGGGACAGGAAGUUCCUCCCUUCUCCAGAGCGCCGUCGACCCCACGCCACGCAGAGGUGAAGAUACGCAGGACGUCCUCUAAAGCAACUUCCGUGGGUGCCAGGUUGUGGGCUGGGGGCGGUGCUGACCUUGAGAGAGCGGAGGAGGCGCAGGCGCAGCACAGGUACGUGGGCGGGCGGAUCGUGGUGGCUGCGCUUGCGAGGACCCUGAGGUAGAUUGGGUGGUUUCAACAGGAACGCAUCCACUGUCUGAGAGUUUAAACUUGAUUUUGUGAGGGGACGAACAGCGUGACAAUUAAAAGAAGAUCUGGGAAUCGUAAGUACUGACAGAAUACCUGGAGGGAAGGUGGGACUGGAGAAUAGUUUGUGAAACAGAUCCUGCUGAGGAUGAAUCCAGAACUUCCUGAAGGGUUCCGCUUCUGCUGUGUAGGGACAAGGUUGUAAAUAGACAAGCCACAGGCACCUGCAAAUGGUAAGUGUGGUAGAGAGGGGCUGGAAUUGCCUGUUGGUGUAUCUGUGGGAAGCAGCUGCUAUCCUUGAGGAAGAAAAGAUGGAGAAGGUAAGUGGCUAUCAACCUGUCAGAGACAACACAUUCUGUGAAGUUGUACUCUUUCAUUUCUGACACUGUGGUUCUUAAUAUCUGUCCUAAACCUGGCAGUCAUUGAGGUUCGCAAAGUAUCUCCUUCUAUGUGACAGUAAAACUGGAAUUACUAUCAGAAUGGAAUCCAUUCCUGCUAGAGUAAAACCAUGAAAAGAAAUCGCAGUUUUGAUUAUCUGCUUAUCAUUUUUAAUAGAUCACAGAGUGCAGUGUUCCUUAUUUGUUGUAUGGCAAGUUGAUGAAUAACUCUUGAUUAAUAUCUUUUAAUGUUCUGUUUCACACAGUUCUCUCAAUUACAUGUGAAAAAUCUGUUAUAUAAGUAAUGCUAUUUAAUGAUUAAAAUGGAUAUAUGUUUUAAGGUAGUGCCACCCAGUCUUUUUUUUUUGGUAGAAUAAUAUUAUUAUCUAUUGGUUGCCUGCCUUGAAGUACAGUAAUUUCUCUGUUUCCAUUAUUUAAAAUAGGUGAGUGUCUUUGACAAAGAUACAAAGAAAGGGGACAGUUAUGAAAGGGAAGAAAAGAUAGAUGGAGAUGAAAAGAAAUUCAGUAGUUUCAGCAAGGGAAUUAGGAGCAUAAUCUUUGAGAAAAGUCUUGGUUGCUUACCAUUCGGGCUUUGUGAUGAGUUGAAAUGUCCUGAAUGAGAACUGUUCUCAAAUGCUUUCAAGACCAACAAAAAGUACGAUACCCACACUGACCUGGAACUCUUUAAACCAUUAAGAUAUAUCACUUUUUCGCAGUUCAGUCCAUAUUUUUUGCAAAAUGUUCUGCUUAGUUUUUCUGCUAAGAAAUUACUGUUUCUGAACAAGGUUAAGUGUCGUAUGCUUUCAUUGUAGUUUUUUUUCCCCUAACAUAUACUGUUUUCCUAAUUAGACUAUAAAUUCCUCCACAGCUGGGACCUUGUUUUGUUUUCUCGCCUUCCCCAUAACAAAUAUCAUUUAAGUGAAUGUUGUAAACAGUUACUUCAUUUAAAUUGCCCUUAAAAUGCUUUAUGACAAAGACGUUAUUUGUAGUAAUACCUAUAAUGGUAAAAAGUUUGUUGCAGUCUUACAGACGAUAAGAUUGAUCAAUUGUUAUAUAUGCUUAGUGGAAUUUUAUCUAGCUGUUCUAAAGAGCCAUUAGACUAGUCUUUCUAAUGGAAAAUGUUUAUUGUCUAAGUUAAAACAGCAUUUGAGGCCAGGCACAGUGGCUCACUCCUGUUAUUGCAGCACUAUGGGAGGCUGAGGUGGGAGGAUCACUAGAGCACAAGAGUUGGAGACUAGCCUAGGCAAUAUAGUGAGACCUCUUCUCUACAAAAAAUUUAAAAAUUAGCUGAGUGUGAUGGGGUGUGCCCGUAGUUCCAGCUACUCAGGAGACUGAGGUGGGAGGAUCACUUGGGUCCAAGAGGUAGAUGUUGCAGUAAACCAAGAUCAUGCCACUGCACUGCAGCCUGGGCAACAGAGCAAGAUCCUGUCUCAAAAAAUUAAAAAGCAUUUUAUAGACUGCAUGUUUGUGUCCCCCCUCCCUCCGCACCAGAAUUCAUAUAUUGAAGCCUUAAUCUCCAAUGACAUGAUAUUAGUAGGUGGGGCCUUUGGGGGGUGAUUAAAUAAUAAGGGUGAAGCCCUGCAUGGGAUUAGUGCCUUUACAACAAGAGACCCUAGACAGCUUGCUUCCACUCUUUCUUUGCUCUUCACCAUGUGAGGACACAGCAAGAAAACAGACAACUACAAAUCAGGAAGAGGGCCUAAUUUGUGCCAACCAUGCUGGCACUCUUCUCUAACUUCCCAGCCUCCAGAACUGUGAGAAAUAAAUUUCUGUUGUUUAAGUCACCCAGUUUAUGGUAGUUUGGUUAUAGUUGCCCAUAUUAAGACAGCAGGAUGCAAAAUUGUGGCCAGUAUGAUUGCUUUGACAUGAAACAAAUUUUAAGCACAAAUUGCAAAAAGUAACCAAAAUAUAUCAAUCCCCACUGCUGGCAUUAACACUCUAAAACAAACUUUGUAUAUUGGGGGAUUUUAUUUAUUUAUUUAUUUAUUUUUUUUGCUGACCAUAGUGACUCAUGCCUAUAAUCCCAGCACUUUGGGAGGCCGAGUUGGGCAGAUCACUUGAGGCCAGGAAUUCAAGACCAGCCUGGCCAACAUGGCAAAACCCCCUCUUUACAAAAAUAUAAAAAUUAACCAGGCAUGGUGGCACACCCCUGUAGCCCCACCUACUUGGGAGGCUGAGGUGGGAGGAUCGCUUGGGCCUGUGAAGCAGAGGUUGCGGAGAGCUGUGAUGGCACCACUGCACUCCAGCCUGUGUGACAGAGCGAGACUAUCUCAAGAAAAAAAAAAAAGGAUGAGGAUUUUUUUUGUUUUCAACAUGCUUUUUAACAUCCACUAUAUUACUCUCAUCUUUCUAGGCUGGAAAAAAAAAUGUUUUAAAUGUUAUUCUGAAGUAUAUUGCAACCUUUAACAAUUCAGUAGACUUCUGAAUUUUUAUUUUCAUGUAGCUUACCACAGUUGUAUCUAGGAAUAUAUCACAUAGCUGAUUAAUUGGUGAAAUAACCCUUGCAAUUUUACACAGGUUGUACAGUGCACAUUUUCAAGGACCACUCACAUACAUCCAUUUGAUAUUUUUUGGUAUCAAGAAAGUCUUUAAACAAUCAGUACCACCAAUAGCAGUAAAAAGACAAAACUGUCUGAAAGUACCUAUCUGUUUAAAACUUUAAUUAGCUUUAUCCAUCCAUUAAAUAGUUAUUGAAUAUAAAACUGUAUCAUUCACUCUUCUACACUCUGAGGAAAUAGUGGUAAAUAAAGCAGAUAUUGUCCCUACUAUCAGGAAAUUUACAUUUUAGUAGUAAUAAGCCAUAAAUUAACAAAAACAGAAGACAGUGGUAAGUACUAGGCAUGAAAUUCAAACAUGACUAUUUUAGAUUAGGUGAUUAAAGAAACUAAAAUACCAUUUAAGCUGCUGUGUAAAUGACAAGAGAAUCCAGCUUUGUAAAAAUUGGUGAACCCUUUGCUUGCAGAAGGGACAACUGCAAAAUCUAAGGCAUGAUCUAGCCUGGAAUAUUUCAGGAGCCAAAAGAAGGCCUGCAUGGUUAGAGAAUAGUGACUUAAGACGCAAAUACUGUAACUUUGGAGGGAUAGGAAAGGGCUAGAUCAUGUUACCUUUGAAAGACAGGAAAGAGUUUAGAUUUUAUUCUAUGUGCAAUGGAAAAAAAAAUGAGAGCAUUUUAAUCCAAAGAGUAAUAUAAGAUAAUAUAUUUUUAAAAUCCACUUUGGUAAUUUGUUAAUUGGCAUAAAGAGUCAGCUUUCAUGUAACAUAAUUACUAACAUACUUGGAUUUAAAUUUGUCAUUAUUCUUAUUUUAUUUGUCCCACCUCUUAUAUGUUCAUUUUGUCUUCUUUUGCCUUUUUGAUUUUUUUUUUUCUUAAUUAGGCCAUAGCACCUGAUAUUCCCAGGCAGACUCUCAUCCAAGUGCCAAUCAGCCCCAGCCCUGCUUAGCUUCCCAGAUCAGAUGAGAACAGGCAUAUUCAGGGUGGUAUGGCUAUAGACCUUUUAGAUUAUUUUUAAUUAUUCCAUUUUUUCUACCUCAUAAGCUUGACAGAUGUCUUUUAGUAUCUUUUUACUGUUCACCUCAGGUAUUAAAACAUGGAACCUUGGUUUAUCAUCUUUAAGAUAAUUUGGUAUUAUACUUCUUCCAGGACAAUGUAAGGACCUGCGAACACAUCAACUUCAUUUACUGCCACACCUCAUGUUAUAUACAUUGUAUAUUCUUAAUAUGUAUUUCCUAAAUUCUCAAGACAUUUUUUAUACAAUAUGAAUUUACAUUUCAUAUUGUAUAAAACAUUUACUUUUUCUAUUGUGUUUCGUGGUUCCUGGAAUCUGAGCUUCCAUCUAAGACCUUAUUUCUUCUUGAAGGACAUACUUUAAUAUUUCUUCGAAUAUCUACUGGUAACAAUUCAUUCAGAUUUUCUGUCCUGACACUGUCUUAUUUUACUUUCAUUUUCUAAGAACGUUUUUGCUGAAUUAGCAGCUAUUUUAUCAUUUUGAAGAUAUAUUUUAUUCCUUCUGGCUUCCAUUAUGUCCUCUAAGACAUAAUGUCCAUUUUGUUUUUUUCUCUUCAAAGGUAAUCUUUUUUUGGAUGGCUACUUUUAAGAGGUUUGUCUUAAGUUUGGUGUGCCCACAUGUGUUUUGUGUUUGUUUUUUUGUGUGUGUGGUUUUUUUCUGCUUCGAGAUUGAUAAUGUUUCUUGAAUCUGGCUGUGAUGUCCUUAGGCUGUUUGAGAAAAUUCUUAGCUCUGUUUGAUCAGACAUUGCUUCUGCUUUCACUCUCCUUUCUCCUCUUCUUUUGAUACUCCACUUACAUUUGUAUUUGACAAUUCACUUUGUCCCUUGUAUUUUCCAUUUAUUUUCUUGUCUGUUUCAUCCUGAAUAUUUCUUCUUAACUUUCAGUUCACUAUUUUCUCUUAGUAGUCUCGAAUUUGUUAAAUCUCUCUUGAAGCAUUUAUUUUAGUUAUAUUUUUGGUUAUCAGUUCAAACAUUUCUACUUGAUUCUGUUUUAUUGUUUCCAGUUGUUUAUCCAAUAUCUCAAUCUUUUAUUUCCUCAAACAUACUAAUCAUAAUUACUUUAAAACCUGUAUCUAAUAACUAUGGUGUCUGCUAUUAUCUGACACUUUUCUUGUUUCUUGCUGUUAUCACAUUGUCUUGCUUUUAUGUCCCUUAUUUUUAUGUUAUUUUGUAUUAUUUAUUUUAUAAACAUUAUAAAUAUAUAAAACUUGGCUUAGGUUAUGUUUUAAUUGAAUGUCAGAAUUGUUUUGAUUGAACUGUAUAUGAGGAAACUAUACUUUGAAGUCCAAUAUGAUGGUAUUUUCUAAAGAAAGAAUUUAUGUCUCCUGGCAAGACCUUUGGACACUAGUAAUCUAAGAUCUUCUUAAUCUGGUUAGUGAUAGAGACAAUUAGAAUAUAGGCAGGUCUAUUUCCUGUUCAUACUUUCACAAUGUAGACCUCUGAAGUCCCAACUCAAGCAUGCAGAGUUUACCAGAUCAGGCCCUAAACUUCAGUUUUUGUCUUUUUAAUUCUAUGGGUUAGAAACUCUGUUCAACUUUUCAGCCAUCACCUCAGGAAUCAGAAGAUACUCCAGAGGAAAAGCUAAUGUAAAUGCUGGAUUCAACAACUCUGUUUUUUCCUUCUGAAUAUUUCAUUGUCUCUAAUGCUGUCAGAUGUUUGUUUUAUAUUUUGUCCAAGCUGAGUGUGGUGGCUCACGUCUGUAAUUUCAGCACCUUGGGAGGCCAAGGCGGGACCAUCCCUUGAGGCCAGGAAUUUGAGACUAGCCUAGGCAACAUAACAAGACCUUUGUCUCUUGGAAAAAAAUAAAUAAAUAAAUAUUAUUAGAAGUGAAAAUGGGGAUGUUGUUACAAAUGCUGUGGAGAUUGAUGAGAAAUUAUGAACAACUUAAUAAUAAAUGGGAAAAUAUAAAUGAAGUAGGCAGUUCCAGAAAAUGUAACUUUUCAAAAGCCAUGUAAUGGAAAAUAUAAAUGGUGGGAUGUUGAUGUAAGAAAUCAUGAUGCCCAGAGACUUUUGCCAAACCUUCAAAGGACAGAUCAUUACAAUUUUACACAAACCAUUCCACAGUAUAUUCCACUUAUAUACUGUGGAAUUGGCCCUUACUGCCCUUAUCAAAUUUAACAUCAAGGUUACAGAAGCUUAAUAUUACUGCCCUGAUUUUAUUAGGGCAGUAAUGAUUUGAUAAGGGCAGUAAGAAUUACAGCCCUGUCAUAUUCGCAAAGACAAAAAUCCUAAAUAAAACAGACCUUAGAAAAUGUGUUUUUAAGAAAAGAUAAUAAAACAUGAUCAGGUUGAAUUUAACCCAGGAAUGUAUUUUAGUAUAUUAAGAGAUUAGAAAAACUAUCUGGCUAUCUGAACAGAUGCAGGAAAAGAAAACUAUUUGAAAAAAUUAACAGACAUAGAUAAACCUUUGGGCAAAUUAGAAUUGUGUAGAACUUCCUUGAGCCAAUAAAACCUACAACAACAAUAUUUUAAGAUGAAGUAUUUGAAGCAGUCCAUUAGAAUCAGGAACAAGUACUAUGUUGGAGAUCCUAGCCAGCAUUAUAAGGCAAGAAAAACAAAAGAUUAAAAAUUGUAAAUAAACAUAACUUAGUCUACAGAUAAAUUAUUGAAGAGCUUUGCAAGGAUUCUGAAUAUACUAUUGAUAUGGUUUGGAUCUGUGUCCCUACCCAAAUCUCAUGUUGAAUUGUAAUCCCCAAUGUUGGAGGUGAGGCCUGGUGGGAGAUUGGAUCACGGGAAUGGGUUUCUCAUUCGUGGUUUAGUACCAUCCUCUUGGUACUGUCCUUGAAAUAGUUCUUAGGAGAUCUGGUAAUUUAGAAUUGUGUGGUACCUCUCCCCUCUCUCUUGCUCUUGCUCCCCCUUUGCCUUCCACCAUGAUUGGAAGCUUCCUGAAGCUGCCUCAGAAGCAGAAGCCACUAUGCUUCCUGUACAGCUUGCAGAACCAUGAGCCAAUUAAACCCCUUUUCUUUAUAAAUUACUCAGUCUCCAGUAUUUAUAGCAAUGUGAAAACAGAUAAUAUGACUAUCAAUAUACAAAAGUGAAUUGCAUUUCUUUCCAGCAGAAAUGAACUGUUAGAAAAUGAUUUUUGUAACAUACCAUUUACUAUAUUCCUUUAAAAAUAUAAAUUAGGUAACUUAACAAAAGGUAUAGAAGACCUCUGUAGAAAAUUACAAAACUUUAUUGACAGGCAUUUAAAAAUGUCUAAUUUUAAAAUUGCCAUGUUCAAUGAUUAAAAGACUCGAGUUAAGAUGGCAGUUCUCCACUACACAAUGAAGGUAAUUGCAAUACAAAUCCCAAAUGAGUUUUUCAAGGAGCUUGACAAACUGAUUCUAAAGUCUGUAUGACAAAAAGCAGAAUUCAGGAUACUCCAGAAGCAGAUUUAAGAUAGAAUUGACUUGUAGAUAUUCGUAACAGCAAAAAAAUAAAAACAACUCAAAUAUCCAUCAAAAGAUAAAAUGUUUAUCCAUGAAAAGAUACUCAAAAAGUGACACCUUUAUAUAAUGGGAUAUAUUUGGCUGCAAAAAGGAAUGAACUGCUAAUACCUGCUAUAAUGUGGAUAAACCUUGAAAGCCUGCUGAAAUAAAGAAGCCAGUCACAAAGGACCACUUAUGAUUCCAUUUAAACAAAGUGUAUAAAGUAGAAAAUGUAUUGAGACAAUAGAUUGUGGUUGUUUAGGGCUUACAAAGUUUGGGGUGAUGGGGGCCCGAGGUAGUGACAGCUAAAGGGUGCAGUUUCUUUUUGAGGCAAUAAAGUUCUAAAAUGUAUAGUUGCACGUUUCUGUAGAUACACUAAAAUCAAUUCAGUUGUGCAUUUAAAUGAGUAAAUUGGUAUGUGAAUUGUACCUCAAUAAAUCUGUUAAAACCAUAGUAAUUAGGAUAUUGUAAUACUGGCUUAGAGAUGGAAAAAUUGAUUUAUAAGGAAUCCUGAUUGUAAGGAAUCUUGACUUAUGUCAGAGAUGGCAUUGCAUACCAGCAGGGAAAGCUAGAUCAUUUCAAUAGAUGACGCUGCAUAUUCAUAUGGGGGAAAAAUGAAAUUGGUCCUCCCUACCUAACACCAUACAGAAAAAGUAGUUUCAGAUGACUUUAAGAUGUAAGUGUGAAAGGAAAACAUAGUAAACCUUCAAAAGAAAGAUUGCAAAAUAUUUUUAUGAUCUUAUGGUAGGGAAAUGUAAUAUGUAUAAAGGAAAACAUGUAUGUCCAAUAUGUUAAAGUUAAAAACCUCUGUUCAAGACUCCAUAAACCCUCAGAAUAGCGGUUAAUUUCAGUCAUGCCCAGGAAACAUACAAGAUGAGCCUGGAAUACCUUGUGCAAGAUAGCAAGGAAGCUAUUAGAGACUACGAGGGUGUCAUAUCAAAUGGACUCAGGAGACAACUGAAAAGCAUCCUUCUGGCCAUAGAUGAGACCAUUUGAGUGUCAAUAAGGACAGUAAAUGCAAUUGAUUGGAACAUAUCAAGUGUCUUUAAAUCUGAGUACAUAAUGAUUGUAAAACAAACAGCAUUUAGUUGGUCAACAGUAGAAGAUGCUGUUGCAUCAAUUCAUUAUUUUGAAAAUCAGUUUUGUUUUGUUUUUAAAGUAAUUAGGCAUUUGUCCUGCCUUUUGUAUGUGAACUGUAAGUAACCACAUAGUAGAUGAGGAGAGGGUUCUCUUUGUACAUGUAUUCUAGCUAAUAAAUGGAGGAAUGAUAGAAAAUUGCCAUUUUGAAAUUCCUAAUGAACAAAUGGAUUUAUUUAUUGCAUUUCAACAGCUGCUAACAUGACAGACAAGAAAACAUAUGUUUCUUAAUGGAAAAACACCACUACUGAUGUUAAAAUCUUAUCAAAAAUUUGACCCUGAUACUAAUCAGGUCUUUAGAUCCAUCCAAUUUGCAGAAAAUAUAAACACCAUUAAAACUUUAAGCCAAUGAAACCUACCACAACGUAAUAUUUUGGAAUGGAAAAUAUAAAUGAAAAAUCCAAUUUUGGAGAAUAUUGGGACAAAUUAAUUUCAACAAAUAUGUUGCAGGAGAAAAGGAGACGAGAAGGACAAGUGGAGAAAACCGUAGAUUACAAGAGACUUAGUUCAAUAUGAAGCAACCUGUGAACUUGGAUUAGUUAUCUUACUGUAUAACAAAUCACCCUAGCUUAAAUCUAAAAAUAUUUAUACACUUUCUUAGGAUCCACAGGUGGUUUAGCUAGAUGUUCUGGCCCAAGGUCUCAUGAAUUUGCAGUCAAGAUGUUGGCUGGGCUGUAGUCUGAAAGUUUGACUGGUGUUAGAGGAUCCACUUCCUAGAGGGCUCAUUCGUAGAGCUGCCUGUGUUUUCUCACAACAUGGCAACUGGCUUUCUCUAGAACAGGUGAUCCAAGAGAGAGACAGAAACCAUGAUCAUUCAGAGUGAUGUAACAUUACUUCUACUAUAUAAUGUUAGUCACACAGACAUUUCCCUGACAAUAUGUGGGAGGAGAUUACACAAGAGCAUGAAUACUGGGAAGCUAGCUGUCACAAUUUGGCCCCAAUGAUUGAUAGUUCUUGAUUUGCAAAAUAUAUUCAUCCCCUCCAAAAGCUCUCCAAAGCUCUCAUCCUAUGACACCAUUAGUUCAAGGUCUAGAAAUCUAAAUCAGUUCCAAUUGUGGAUGACACUCAUAGGUGUACUUAAGUACAGCUCCUCAAGAAGAGUUCUUUUUGAUCUGAAGACUCAUACACUAAAGACACAGUCUCUGCUUCCACAUGUAAUAGAAAAUGAAUAGGAUAAUAAAUGUGGACAUGUAUAUUUAAAAAGAGGGAAUAUUGGAGGUACAUAGGUUCACAGAAAUUCUGAAACCCACCUGGGCACAGAUUGGCAGUUGCUUGGUCAAGUUUCAAGGCCUAGAAUUCUCUUAGCUCUGCCUUCUGGGAUCUUGGAUCUACUCACUGAGUCACCCUUUCUUUUUCUUGUUUACACUUCUGCCUGCUUUCUGCCUAUAGAAGCUUGGAUGUCCCACAAGCUUCUUUCCAUUUGGUUCUCUCUGUGCCUUUCAGUCCAGGCUGGCCAUGUUUCUGCUAAUAGACUUCUCUUAAAAACUUUGUGGCUCACUUGUGAAUUUUGAGUUCACUCCAUCAGACAAAAGCAACAACCACACAUCUCGUCCCACAUAAACUCUGCCUCAAGCUUUUGCUGAUGAAAAUACCCUUAAACUUUUUAAAAACCUGUGAUGUUAUUCAGAGAUUUUCUGAGACACAUCGUUUGUCUGAUGAAAAUACUCUGAGGCACAACUUAAGAUCUUUCUGAGCUAUUAAAGGACUUUAUAACUACAGCCUCAACUUUAUGUUUUACUGGCAGUGCCCUAGAUUUGCUUUUUGCUCAGAGAUAUUCCCCAAUUUUAGCACAUUUGUCAUCUGCACAGGCUGGGAAUCUUCAAAUCCAGCAAGUUUUGACUUGUUUUUGUUUGUUUGUUUGUAAUAGAGUCUGUUUUUUGCUGUGUUGGCCAGGUGAUCUUGGACUCCUGGCUUCAAGCAUUCCUCCCACCUCAGCCUCCCAAAGUUCUGGGAUUUUAGGUAUAAGCCACCAUGCCCAGCCAUGGCUCCUUUUUGUUUAACAGUCCUUACUUUGAUGGUCUCUCUUCUCACACAUUUUACUAUCAGCAACAAGAAAAAAUACACAUGAAAUAUUUAACACUUGGCCGGCAAUCUCCUUUGCUAGAUCAAUGAGUUAAUUAGGCAUUUUUUCUACUUUGUACAUAUCUGUGGAUAACAAAUUUGCUAAACUUUCUGCCAUUAUGUAACAAGGAUCUCCUUCCCUCUAGUUUCCAAGAAGAGUUUUCUAAUCUGUUAAGAUGUCACCUGCAGCCUCCUCAAAGGUUAUCUAUUAUGCUUCUAUAAAAAAUUUCUUCAAAGCUCUUCAAACUUUCAUUAACACUCUCCUCCAAGUUCUACCUUCUGUUCACUGCCAGUUUUAAAACCACACUUACAUUUUAGGUUUUUGCUAACACCCCACUUCUGAGUACCAAAAUGUAUACUGAUUUUCUAUUGCUGCAUAAUAAACUGCCCCAAAAUACAACAUGCAAAGCAAUAAAUAUUCAUUAUCUCAUGUAGUGUCUGAAGGUCAAAAAUCCGGAAGCAGCAUAGCUGAGUGGUUCUGAUUCAUUGUCUCUUGUGAAGUUAUCAGUCAAACCAUCAGCUGAGACUGUAAUCAUCUGAUGUUUUAACUAGUACCAGAGGAUACACUUUCACAUGCUAUUGGCAGGACACUUUAGUUCUUCACUAGCUGUUUAGCAGAAUACCGCACUUCCUCACCACAUGUACCUCUUCAUAGAGCUUCCUGGCUUCCUCUAAAACAAGUAAUCCAAGAGAGAAGCAGAAGCCACCAUGGUUUUUUAUGCCGUUGUUGACCUAGCCCCCAAAGUGACAUAUUAUUACACAGAUAUGUAGCCAACCUGUGGGUCACUGAUACGGUUUGGAUGUGUGUCCCCUCCAAAUCUCAUGUUGAAAUGUGAUUCUCAGUGUUGGAAGUGGGGCUGGUGAUAGGUGUUUGGUUCAUGAGGGUAGAUCCCUUAUGAAUGGCUUGGUGCUGUCUUUGUGGCAAUAAGUGAGUUCUCACUAUCUGAGUUCACACAAGAGCUGGUUGUUUAAAAGAGCCUGUCAUCUCUUUUGCUCCCUUUCUCACCAUGUGAUAUGCUGCUCCCCUUCUCUUCUGCCAUGAAGAAAAGCUUCCUGAGGCCUUCACCAGAAGCAGAUGCUGGUGCCGUGCUUCUACAGCCUGCAGAACUGUGAGCCAAAUAAAGUUCUUUCCUUUAUAAAUUACCCAGCGUCAGGUAUUGUUUUAUAGCAAUGCAGAACAGACUAACACAGACACACACACCAACCAAGUACAGUAUGAGAAGGGAUUAUUGGGUGCCAUUUUGGAGGUUGUCUACCACAGGAUUUUAUCUGUAUCAUUAUUCAAAUUUCGUUUUUGAAAAAUUUUGUAAGGGCACAUUUAUAGAAAUAUGAAUGCUUAAUAUUUGAUGAUAUUAGGGAAUUAAACCAUUUUUGUGUGAUAGUAAUUUUUAAAGAUUCCUUAUCUUUUAGAAAUACAUAUUGAAAUAUUUAGAGAUGUAGUGAUAUAAUGUCUGGGGUAUGCUUCAAGAUAAGAGUUGCAGAAAGUGGGUGGUAGUAUAAAUCAAGAUUGGUUAUGAGUUGAGAAUUUUUGAGUAAUAGGUAUAUGGGGACUAAGUAUUCUAUUCUUCAUACUUUUACAUGCCGUAAAUCCCCACUUAUCUGCAGGGAAUGUGUUCCAAGACCCCCAGUGGAUGCCUGAAACUGAGAAUAGUACUGGACCCUGUAUAUACUGUGUUUUUUCUUUCCUUAUUGAGAACUUUUAUGUUUUCACUUAAAGGAAGGACUUUACAGCUUCUCUUUCGCAUAUCCAAAUUGCCAGCAUCACCGCUCUUGCACUCCAAGCCAUUAUUAAGUAAAGUAAAGAACACAAACACUGUGAUACUGCUACACUUGAUCUGAUAACCAAGAAGUCUACUAAGUGACUAACAGGUGGGUAGCAUAUACAGCAUAGAUACACUGGACAAAGGGAGGACUCACAUCCUGGGCAAGAUGGAGCAGAAUGGCAGAGUUCAUCAUGCUGCUCAAAAUGAUGUGCAAUUUAAAACUAAUGAAUUAUUUCUGGAAUUUUUCAGUUAAUAUUUUUGGACAUGAGGUGACUGCAGUUAACUAAAACCAUGGAAAGCAAACCCAUAGAUAAAGGGAUACUAUGGUAUGUUUUCAUUUUCUAUAAUAAAAAGUUAAAAAGGAAAAAGACACCAUAGGAAAAUAAAAGACAAGUCACAAACUGGGAAAAGAUCUUUGCAACACAUGUGACUAUCGAAAGGAUUAGUAUUCACACUGUGUAAAGAACCACUACAAUUCAAUGAAAAUGAAGAUAAUGCUUUCCACCCCAAACAGGCAAUUCAUACAGGAGAAAACCUGAAAAGAUACCCAACCACAAGGAAAUACCAUUUCACACCCACCAGAUGAACAAAAAUGUAAAAGUCUGGCAAUAUUACAAUUCUUAUACAUUGCUGGUUGGAGUAUGAAUUGAUAUAAUCAAUUUGGGAAACAAUAUGGUAUUAUCUAGUAGCUGAAGAUGCACAUCUUCUGUGACCCAGGAAAAAUGUAUAGCAGGAGACAUGAGCAAGAAAAUUCAUAAUGGCAUUUAUAACAGUAAAACGUGGAAGAAAAUCCACUGUCCAUCAACAGUAGAGUGAUUAAAUACAUUGUAUAUGCUCAUACAGCAGAAUAUAGUGGUGGAAAAAAUAAAUUACAAGUUCAUGGACAUAGAUAAAUCUCUAACAAAAUGUUGAGCAAAUAAAAAUUCACAAAAGAAUUUUACAGUAGGAUUCCAUUUAUAUAAAGAACCAAUGAAAGUAAAUAGCCUAAGGGUACAAACAUAAGUAAAUCUAUAAAUUAAAGCAAAAGAAUGAUAAGCACAAAUUCAAGGCAGUGAUUUCCUCUAGCUACAGAGGGAAGGGAAUGAAGUAAGGAAAAGGUGAACAAGGAGCUUAAAAGUAUGAUAAUUAUAUGUGUUGGUUUGGCCAAACAGUCCUGGUUUACCUAGCACAGUUCUGGUUUGCUGAUUGCCUGGUGUAAUGAUUAAUAGCACUGUCACUCCCCAAAUUGUCAUUGUUUGGAUAAUGAAUUAUAUGCAUCCUUUUUAGAGUAAAAGUAACUUUUUUCUCCUUAAACUGGAUGGAGGGCAUGUGGGUCUUUAUCAUUCUUCCUUAUACAUGUAUUUUUAAAAUAUAAUUUAAAACUAGUCAGUAUUUUAAAAUAUAAUUUAAAACUUUAGUCAGUGUUAGUCACUGUGUUAGUGACAACACAGUAAAAAAAAAAAAUUUGUAAGAUAAAUAAAUAUAAAUAGGAUCCAAAUGAAACUCUUUUCAUCUGGGUGGAUACAGGGAUAAAUAACAUACUAUAUGCCUGGCAUUGUAUUAAGCUUGUUACUGAUAUUACUUCAUAUUCAUAGCAAGACAUUUAGGUAGGCAUUAUUAUCUCCAUUUUACACAUGAAGAAUCUAAGACACAAAGACUAUACAUAAUUUAACCAAAGUCAUAUUAUAUGUGACAGCGCAGAAUUUGAACCCAAGCAGUGUGACAUCAGACUACAUGCUCUUAACUACCAUGCCAGAGCCCAUAACAGAUUUUCUUAACCUUUUUUAUGCCACAGAUCCCUUUGACAGUCUGGUGAAGCCUAUAGAGUCCUUUUUAGAGUAAUGUCUUUUGUACAUCAAAUAUAAUGCACAGGAUUAUAAAUAAAAUCAAUUAUACUAAAAUAUGGUAAUCAAAAUAUUUAACAAAUGUAUACUAUACCUGUACUUUUUAUUAAUGCAUUAAAUAAAUAAUAAAAUCUAGCAGGUCUAAUGAAUAAUUUUGAAAUAAUAAUAAUAAUUGUAUCUUGAGAUAUCUACAAAUAUAGUAAUGUGAUAGGAAAAUGUUUGUGAUUUUGAUAAGUGAAAAAGUCACCAAAAUACUUGUAAUAACACUGUGGUUUUUUGCAUAUGUUCACAAUGGAAAGAAAUCCUAAAUCUUACUUCGAAGUUAGCAAGAAUUACAAUAUUUUUCCCACCCCAAUUCAUGGCCCUCUACUUUAUGGUCUUAUUUCAUAGGCUUUCUGACAUGUUUUGCUUCAAAGAGGUCCUAUUCCCCAUCCCAUUUCCUAUCUUCUGGUUUGGGAUUACACUCAAGAUGUGAUAUACAGAUAGAUUAGUUUAUUAGAAAGAAAAUAUUUUUCCACAUGGCGAACUUUAGUGGAGGCUAACAAAUCAGAAUGUGCUAAAAUAGCCAUGUGUACAUAUAGACAAUGGGAAGCUUGGAACUGCUUUAGCAUUUUAUACAAAAGACUUAAAAGUAAUUUCAGCUGGGCACUGUGGCUCGGGCCUGUAAUCCCAGCACUUUGGGAGGCUAAAGUGAGAGGAUUGCUUGAGGCCAGGAGUUCAAGACCAGCCUGGGCAACAUAGUGAGACCCUCCCCCCAUCUGUACAAAAAAAUUACAAAAUUAACCAGGCAUUGUGGCUCGCACCUGUGGUACCAGCUACUUGGAAGGCUGAGACAGGAGGAUGGCUUGAGCCUGGGAGGUUGAGGCUUUAAUGAGCCAUGAUCAUGCCACUGCACUCCAGCUUGGGCAACAGAGUGAGACCCUGUUUCCAAAAACAACAAAAACUGGUUUCAAAUAUAUUGCUACAUUGGAAUUCUCCAUAAAGGAAUUAAUUGUUGAUAACAAUGCCCUCAGUAUACUAUUUGUCAAUACCUAUAACAAUGCAACAAACAAAAAAGAAAAUUUAAAUAGCUGGACCACAUUAAAAGUUUUAUUGGGCUAAAAUCAAAAACAUCUGACAAGUUUUUGACUUGUCUUUCUCAUGAUUUAAUGUCCCAGCAGAGCAACUGGGAACCUAAUUCUGACCAAAAAGGAGGAAUUGUUUGGCUAAUUGGAAGUGACAGAAACCUUGGGAGAAAGCAACCGCAUACCAAGGAUAAUUAUAAGAAGAAGAGAAGACAUGGAGAAGAGGAGGGAGUAGUUGUGACCGUGGAGGCAGAGAAUGGAGUAAUGUGAUCAUAAAUCAAGGAAUGCUGACAGCCACUAAAGCUGGAGAAGGCCAAGGACAGAUAUUCAAUCCUCCCGUAGAAGUACAGCCCUGCUAAUGCAUUGAUUUUGGACUUCUGGCCUCAGAACUGUAAGAGAAUAAAUUUCUAUUGUUUUAAGCCUUCAGUUUGUGGUAGUUUGUUACAGAAACCCUGUAAAGUUAAUACACAGAGUUCAAAGAGAAUCCGGUAAUAUCUCUAAAAGACUCGUGUAUUAGUCAGGAUUCUCCAGAGAAGCAAAGCCAAUAGAAUGAUACAUGUUGUUAAAGCAAAUUAAAAUGGAGACCAUGCCUGAAGAAUCUCUGUGCAGAGAAACCCAGUUAGGCCUCAUAAGUUAACCUUACUUGAUUUGCAAACAUAAUCUAAAAGUUAACUGGAGCUAUUUCCGGUAAAUGAAUAUAACACAACUUAAGCUCAAUCAGUCAGAAGCAGCUUUAUAAUUAUGUAGCUAGGGACUUUCCAAGAGGAUGACCAAAGAAGGAAAUGAUAUAACUAUAACCAAAUAAAUAUUUUCUUUGCUUUCCUGUUCCUCCUAUAAAAGCCUCCCCACUGCUGAGCUGUGCUCAGCAGAGCUCCGAAACAACUUCUGGUUUAGAGUUGCCCGAUUUGUGAAUCACUGUUUGCUCAAAUAAACUCUUUAAAAUUUUAUUGUAUCUCAGGUUAUCUUUUUUAGAUAGAUAGAUGAUAUAUGAUAGAUAGAUAGAUAGAUAGAUAGAUAGAUAGAUAGAUAGAUAAUAGAUAGAUAGAUAGAUUAUUUAUUAUGGGAAUUGGCUCAAUCACAGAGACCCAAGAUCUGCCGUCUGCAAACUGGAGAACCAGGAAAGCCAGUGGUGUAAUCAAGUUCAAAGGGCUGAGAACCAGGAGAAUCAAUAACUUAAUACCCAAUGUAAUAAGGCCUGAGAAUGUGGGGUAGGGAUGCUAGUAUAAGUCCUAGAGUCUGACUACUGCAGAACCAGGAGUUCUGAUGUCCAAGGGUAGGAGAAGAUGGAGGUCCUAAAUCAAGAAUAAAGCAAAUUCACCUUUUCUUUGCCCUUUUUGUUCUAUUUGGGCAGGCCUCCAGUGAAUUGGAUGAUGCCCACCCACACUGGUAGAGCAGAUCUUUAGUCAGUCUUGAUUCAAAUGCUAAUUUCUUCACAGAGGCACACAGAAAUACUGUUUUAUCAUCUAUCUGGAUAGCCCUUAACACAGCCAAGUUGACACAUAAAAUUAACCAUCACAAUUAGGUUUUCCUGGGUUGGAAGGAAUGGGAGAUAAUGAAACGGGUGCUGGAGGGUAGAGGAGGUCUGAGGGACUUCUUGGCGGGACUAUGUGAACCAGAAUGGAAUGAGCAAAUUACAGACCCCACAGUCUCUGCUCUGACAGAGAUUGCCAGAGUUUGAAAUAGACCUGAUAGGGUUACUACAGGUUACCAGAACCGGGAAGUCAUGUGGCAGCCAAGCUAAUAUCCAAAGAUCACCCAAAGAGUAUUUCAUGUGAUCAGGAAGAGUCUCUGUUUAAUUGACAACUGCUUCCCACUUCCCAUCCCCUUCACGUGUAGCAGGAGUCACAGCUGUCUGUAUGCAGGUACUUUACUCGACCCUAUCCAAACUAUUAAUAGGAAAAAGUACUUUCUCAGUAGUCUAAGUAGUCACAAACCCUAAGAAAUACAGAAAAGAUUAUGGACAUCUACGGGAGUGCCAGUGAUAUAAAAUGAUAAUCCAUAUCACAUGGAAACCCUCCCACAUAAAUAAUCUUUAUUUGACUAGGACUUUAUUCAUUCAACUGAGAUUCUCCAACACCCCUGAUAACCAGCCAGGACCGUGCUGAUCCUAGGCAACAAUCUAAAAGGAAUAAUUAAAGGAUGCUCUGGGAGCAUCUAUAAGAGAAAGCAGUAAUCAAUCGAAUACAGCACGGGUUUAUCUAUAAUAAUUUCAGUCUAAUUUAAUUUUCUUUCUGAUAGUGUUACUAGGCUAGUCAACCAAUAAAAUGCAGUAGGUAAUAUUUUUCUGGGCCCAUGAGGUAUUACUGACUUUUUUUUUUUUAUCAUAUCCUUGUGAGUAAGUUGGAGGGGUUGGGGAGGCUAGAUGGUAGUACUGUCAGGGAAGGACUUAGCAUCCAAAGGGUACUGACUCCUAGAUGGCAGUCAGCCUCUCCAGAGGUUUUUAGUAUAGAAUUACAGUCCUCGGUCUUCUGUGUUUCAUUGACUUAAAAGAAAACAUAGAAUCCAUAUUUAUCAAAUUUUUACCUGAUUCAAAAUCAGGAAGGAUAGUAUUUUUUCCAAACUUUGGAACAGCUUGAUGUUGACUCUGGGCUAAAUUCUGUAUGGGCAUAAUUAGAAUCAAUAAAAUUUUGAGAGUCUAUAACAAUAUAGGCAGAGUCCAACAAACUAGUAGGAUUUUUAAGUUUAUUCACUCAUUUAGAUGUCACAAAUUUCUGGAAUAUCAACUCUGUGUAAAUGUCUAUGUUAGGCUUUAGAAUAUGAAUAAGGUAUGUUAGACUGCAGGAGUUUAAAAUCUGGUGAAUAAAACAAACUUGUAAACACAAAAUACAACAAAUAUUAAUUGUAAGGCAUUAUUUAGCAUUAUAUUUAGUAAAAAAAACUACAGUUAAUUGUAUGAUAUGCACAGGGACUGGCAUGUGUGAAACACCUUUAGACAUUUAAUAAGCUGGAAAAAAUAAUAUUUACCAUAAACAUAUACUACUGGUGCAAACAUAAAAUAGUAAUUUUGUGGAAAGUAAUUAUGUACAAGCCAUACUAUUUAAUGCAGCAAUUUCCUUCUAAGAAUCUACUUUAAAAAUAAUCUAAAAUAUAUUCAUGUUAUAUAUAUAUAAGGAAGUUCAUAAUCAAAUUAUUUAUAAUGGCAAAAAAGUUUAACAUGAAUGAUUAAAAAGAUAGUAUAGCCAUAUGAUAGUGUCAUAAUCAUAAACAGUUAUGUCUCUAAAAAACAGGUGUCUGAAAUAUUAUGUCACAUUCUAGAAUAGCAUGUUAUAGUCAACUAGAAGUCUGGGAAAAAAUGAUUUUUUUACUGUAAAACCUCUUGAAAGUUUUGAAUUUUGUGCCAUGUUGCGUGUAACACAUUCAAAAAAUAAACACAAUUUUAAAAUAAAGGAUUCAACUUAAAAUUUUAAAAA